rnacentral:rRNA from 1 species
GGUUAAGUGACUAAGCGUACACGGUGGAUGCCUGGGCAGUCAGAGGCGAUGAAGGACGUACUAACUUGCGAUAAGCGCAGAUAAGGCAGUAAGAGCCGUUUGAGUCUGCGAUUUCCGAAUGGGGAAACCCCAACUGCAUAAGCAGUUACUGUUAACUGAAUACAUAGGUUAACAGAGCAAACCGGGGGAACUGAAACAUCUAAGUACCCCGAGG